rnacentral:rRNA from 1 species
CACCGCGGUUAAACGAGAGGCCCUAGUUAAUAGAAUUACGGCGUAAAGGGUGGUUAAGGAAAGCAGUUAAUAAAGCCAAAUGGCCCUUUGGCCGUCAUACGCUUCUAGGUGUCCGAAGUCCAACCACACGAAAGUAGCUUUAACAAAACCCACCUGACCCCACGAAAACUGAGAAA